rnacentral:rRNA from 1 species
UACGGAGGGUGCAAGCGUUAUCCGGAUUUACUGGGUUUAAAGGGUGCGCAGGCGGAUAUGUAAGUCAGUGGUGAAAUCUCCGGGCUUAACCCGGAAAUUGCCGUUGAUACUAUAUAUCUUGAAUGCUGUGGAGGUAAGCGGAAUAUGUCAUGUAGCGGUGAAAUGCUUAGAGAUGACAUAGAACACCUAUUGCGAAGGCAGCUUACUACGCAGAUAUUGACGCUCAUGCACGAAAGCGUGGGGAGCAAACAGG